AACGAACGCUGGCGGCGCGCCUAAUACAUGCAAGUCGAGCGAGAAGGUGUAGCAAUACACUUGUAAAGCGGCGAACGGGUGAGGAAUACAUGGGUGACCUACCAUUGAGUGGGAAUAACCAGCCGAAAGGCUGGCUAAUACCGCGUACGCUUCUGGAUUUUCGAGUUCGGAAGGAAAGCGAUACCGUGGGUAUCGCGCUCUUUGAUGGGCUCAUGUCCUAUCAGCUGUUGGUAGGUAACGGCCUACCAAGGCUUUGACGGGUAGCUGGUCUGAGAGGACGAUCAGCCACACUGGCACUGCGACACGGGCCAGACUCCUACGGGAGGCAGCAGUAAGGAAUAUUGCGCAAUGGGCGAAAAGCCUGACGCAGCGACGCCGCGUGGGGGAUGAAGGUCUUCGGAUUGUAAACCCCUUUCGGGAGGGAAGAUGGGACGGGCGAACCGUCCGGACGGUACCUCCAGAAGCAGCCACGGCCAACUUCGUGCCA
rnacentral:rRNA from 1 species